rnacentral:rRNA from 2 species
AGAGUUUGAUCCUGGCUCAGAACGAACGCUGGCGGCAUGCCUAACACAUGCAAGUCGAACGGGCCCCUUCGGGGGUCAGUGGCAGACGGGUGAGUAACGCGUGGGAACGUGCCCAUCGGUUCGGGAUAACCCAGGGAAACUUGGGCUAAUACCGGAUACGCCCUUUGGGGGAAAGAUUCAUUGCCGAUGGAUCGGCCCGCGUCUGAUUAGCUAGUUGGCGAGGUAACGGCUCACCAAGGCGACGAUCAGUAGCUGGUCUGAGAGGAUGAUCAGCCACACUGGGACUGAGACACGGCCCAGACUCCUACGGGAGGCAGCAGUGGGGAAUAUUGGACAAUGGGCGCAAGCCUGAUCCAGCCAUGCCGCGUGAGUGAUGAAGGCCUUAGGGUUGUAAAGCUCUUUCACCCACGACGAUAAUGACGGUAGUGGGAGAAGAAGCCCCGGCUAACUUCGUGCCAGCAGCCGCGGUAAUACGAAGGGGGCUAGCGUUGCUCGGAAUCACUGGGCGUAAAGGGCGCGUAGGCGGCCGAUCAAGUCAGGGGUGAAAGCCUGUGGCUCAACCACAGAAUUGCCUUUGAUACUGUUCGGCUCGAGACCGGAAGAGGUUGGUGGAACUGCGAGUGUAGAGGUGAAAUUCGUAGAUAUUCGCAAGAACACCAGUGGCGAAGGCGGCCAACUGGUCCGGUUCUGACGCUGAGGCGCGAAAGCGUGGGGAGCAAACAGGAUUAGAUACCCCCGUAGUCC